ensembl:lncRNA
ACGUGGCUGUGGAAGGAAAAGGAAAGGGACACCAGUAAAAGUGUGUGACAGAGUUUUUGCUACAGAGGAUGAGGAGGAGAGCAUGUCUGAGAACAGCUAUGGACCAGAGAAAGGUGAUGGUCAUGAGGACAAACACAGAGUGCCUGCUGCUGAUGGAUCAUACUAUGAAACUCAAUCUGCUCAGCUCUGUGUAAGUGAGGAGGGCUCUAGCAGAGGGAGGGGGGCCGUCUCAUACCCCCCACCCCCAAACUGCCGCAUUCGUGAAGUGCACUGUGGAAAUCAAGUGCGACUGAUUGUCAUAGCGAUCCGCGACAUCACAAAGGGGGAGGAGAUCACUGUGGAUUACAGUUUGACCGAGUGGGGAGAAAACGCUAUGGUAAGUGUAACCAUGACAGUGGCUAGCACAUCUCAAUGCUUUGAGCUCCUAAGUGUUACUAAUAAUAUGCAAAUUGUGGACAGUUUAUAAUUUAGAUGUGUUUGUGACACGAGUUUAUUUGCAUAUGGUGUUUGAUUUAUUGAUGUAUAUGUGUGAGAGUGUUGGAGGGACUUUAUAGUCCCAGUCUUGUCACAUGGUUGACUUUUUUUUUUUUUGUAAUGAUGUUGCAUCCCUCUCUCAGGGUUUCCAUGGCGCUGUAUCUCCUAGUAGCUUUGAUUGCAGCUCAGACCAUGAAAGAAACAUUAAGAAGGAGGAAGAGUCUGGCCCAGUUCCACUUUCUGCAUCAGAAUACCUCACACCUUCCUGGUCUCUCUCUCCUUCCUCCUCUCCUCUGUCUCACUCUGAGCCCAGUGAUUCAGACCUUGACUCGGAUGAUGCCAAUGGAGAGACACGCAUGCGAAUACCUCACCGCCGCAAGAGGCACAAAGCCCUGUCUGCACAUGCUAAGAGAAAAGCACUUCAACGACCCCCCAGCCAUCCUCCCACUUUUCCACACUCCCUCCUGUCCUCCUCACUGCAGCCUGCUGCUCCCUCCAGUCCUGUGUUUAAGUGCCCGCCGUCUGCAGGAGUUCCUGCUAAUAGUGUCAAUGUGUCAGUAGGUCGUGGGCAGAGCAUCAUGGCACAGAAACAGCGCUGUGUUUACUGUGGUCGUCACUUCCGAUCUCUCCCACGCCAUCUGGAUAAACACCACGCUCACCAGCCGGACGUGUGCUCUGCAAUGGUACAAGCAUGCACCUCUGGUGACCCUCCUUGUGUAAAGUCACCUCUCCCAUCAUCGAGCAAGCAGUCCCAAUGCCUUCAAGUGACUCCUGUUCCAGGUGUGGUGGUGGGAACACCACAGUCACCACCCUCUACUUCUUUGUCUCCGGUCAGAAGGAGCCCUGCCCUCUCUAGCCCUAUUUGCAAAAGUCCUACCCCAGCCCCGACAACUCCGCCCAGAAGAGGAGGUGUUCCAGUGUCUGUCUUAAAGAGGAGCCCACCUAUUCCUGCUACUCCUCCCAGAAAAGGAGGACGAAAAACGAAAAAGGAUAAAGAGGAGGUGGACAUUUUUGAGAAGACAAAAGAAGAGGAAUUGCCCACUCCAGUGUUUUUAGAUCAUGUUAAGGAGUCAAAACCUUCGAAAGAAGAAAGAGAGGACAAUGGAGGGAGAGAAGAAGAAAGCGGCGCAGAGGAUAAGACCGACCUAUCAAGUUCGCGUCGUCUCCACAUGCUCCCACUUCUUUCCUCCCUUUCCUCCCUGGUGUUGUACCUGCGGCGGCUGCAGCACUCUGCCUUUAUUUCUCUCUCCCGCUCACCACAGUCGGCCGAGGCAUGGCGUCUCCUCUGUCACUCCAGUCUGGCCCUACUCAUCCUUUACAAUCGCCGGCGUGAAUGUGAAGUCUCCAAGCUCACCAUCUCCGAGUACCAGGCCCGCAUCACAUCCCAGUGCCCCAUUCCUGUGCAGUCUGGUGCCCCACCUACUCUUACCCCACUGGAGGCCUCGCUCUCACCCUUCGAGCGGAUGGUCCUCCCCCAUCUCCCUCGCGUUGGAGUCCAAGGGAAACGUGGCCGUGUACAGCCACUCAUCCUCCCACCACACUCUGAAGCCUGUAUGGAGAUGCUUUUGCAGACUCGUGCCGGUGUGGGAAUUGAUCCACAGAACACCUAUGUGUUUGCCAGGCCAUAUCAUUCGCCUGCCACUCCCCUACGAGGGACAGACUUACUUCGUAGUUUGGCUCGGUCCAGUGGUACUCAGCACCCGCAGGCACUGACACAGACACGCGUUCGCAGGCAGGUGGCGAUACUUACUCAGCUGCUAUUGUUAAGUGAGGGUGAGGAGGAAGGGCAGCACGGGUCUGCCAUACAGCGAUUGGAAAGUUUCUUGCAGAAGGAGUAUCACGUGACGCAAAGCUGUGCAACCAUCGGCCAGGACCCUGGGCUGAUGGGUCUGAUUGGUCGGGUGGUACUAUGCGGAGAGAGAGAUGGCGUCUUAUUCCGAGGAAUGAGUUUACACCACAUCUGUCUGGAGUUAGAUGUGUUGUCAGGAAACUCUGCCGAUUCGUUGUCAGAGGAGUCAGAUUCUGAGCAGAGUAAAGAGAAACCUGAAGCACCAUCUCCUGCAACCAGCAUUAUGAUGAAGAAAACCAUAAGCAACAACAAAUCUCCCCGGCCCAAGAAGAUGACCGGCAGCUCCCUGCUCUCAAAGGGACGCAAAAAGGCCUCAGGACAGCCCAAGCCUGGUAAACGUGGUGUGCUGAAGCGGCCUUGGUCUGAGGCAGAGCGGGCAGCUGUUGAGUCCCACCUGGUGCAAAACAUUAUGGAGCUGCGUGUGCCGGCUAAAGCGGACUGUGAACGCUGCCUGGAGCUCUGCCCCCUGCUGGUCACUAACCACCGGGACUGGAGGGCAGUGAAAUUCUACUGCCACAACCGUAUACAGCUGCUCAAGAAAACCCAGCAGAGACAGGGUCCACCCGCCCUGUCCGUCUGCUGAGGGUGUGAAUAAGCGCAUCCAAUAACAGCAGAUGUGUAAGGGAGGGAAUGUGAGGAG